GUGCUCCUCGCUUUGGCAGCACAUAUACUAAAAACUGGAACAAUACACAGAAGGUUAGAAUGGUCCAUGUGCAAGGAUGACACACAAAUUCGUGAAGCCUUCCAUAUUUUU